GGCAGGCCGGCGAUAAUGAGGCUUUAAACUCGGCGAUAACCGAGCAGUAAUCUCGGCGCGCGGCUUCAUUAUCACCGAUCUGGUACCUUAUCUAAUCUCCGUGCAUGGAUAUCACUUCACUCAGGCCAUCAUGAAGAAUGUGCGUCACAAUAAUUUGGCUCGCCUAUACGACAAGGACGCUGGAACAAGAGACCUGAUCAAGCAUGCCAUGGCGCUGUGCUAUAUACCAGCUAUGUUUAUUACGUCCAGAUUCAAAUCACUGAACGGAAAGAUGCAAACUCAAGAUCUUCGCCGAAUAUUUUCAAAACACAUGGCUAUACAACAGUGUCUGGACUCCCAAUGAUUGUUUAAUCUCAACAAUGUACGAGGUAAGUAUAGGGAUAGAGGCGGACGUUGUGGGGCGUGUCAACGGCAGGUAUGCGGAAGCCAACGAGAGGGUGCAACGUGUCUGGGAACAGAACAAGGAAAGAGAGUUAUCUGUGGACUCUCUUCUUCGAAGGUGUUCAAGGAUCUACGGGCCGCAGUAUUGCAAAGAGUAAGUAUGUAACGCAGCAAAUUUCCCAUAACGUUUAGUAUUCAAAUAAAAUUCAUUA